GCUGUCUUUCAAAAGGCCCUCUGAACAGACACAACAUUGCACAGUGCUAAAGAGGAAGAGUUUAGAUGUUUUAAGCAGAGAGAGCCAGAGAGCAAGACAGAGUCAGGGAUAGAGAAAGAGAGAGAUGGGUGACAGAGUGGGACACUCUAAUUUGAAAGUCAGCUGGAAUAUAGACGCCAGGUGUCUAUAUCCCAAGGGAUUUGGGAGCCACCCAGGAGAACCAUUGACCUGAGGGCAGAAGGAACCAGGCGAGAUGCUUGUCAGUAACAAAAUUUGGUCACUAGUUGGGAAGAUGAAAUGACCAUUGUGAGUAUGGCCUGGUACAUUCAGGAGGCUGUGAGUAGAAAUUUAAAGAAGUCUUCAUAUAGUCUGCAACACUAUAGCAUAAGCAACACUGCUUGAUUAGUCACUCGUAGAGACAAAAAAAGGCAUUCUUCCUCAUUUCUCUAUUUCCCGGGCAUUUAGCAUUCCUGAGUUCAUUGUGUUCCCCUGAGCAAAGUAGUCGCUUCAUGGAUGACCACACAAUGCAACUGCAGCCAUUACUUGGUCUUUUGUAAAAGCAACUGGUAGGGAGGGGAGCUUAUGACCUCAGGGAUUUAAAUCUGGGAGAAGAUAGCCUUUUACUGCUGUGGCCCUCUUUUCAUCACAGGGCAUCUGCAAAUGAAGCCACUGUGAAGGACGGCAGACCUGAGAGAGACCUCAUUUGAGCCUCUGGAUUAAUAUCCCUCCUUGCGUCAACCAGUCUGAUGUGGAUUUUCUGACCUUUGCUACCAAAGUGUUCACAGUGGGGCCGAUAGUGAUGGAUUGGGUCAUUUUUUAAGCUAGAUUUCUCAGGGAAAACCUCUCUAAGCAUCUGGAAGUCUGUGGAUCAAGGUGCUAAUAGCGUACCAUUUCCCAGGGAUGGGGUUAGAGCCACUCAGUAUUUGAGGUGUGGCAUUUGCUCCUGUAAACUCCCAGGGCUAAGUUGUGCGAGAGCUCACAGAUGUGUUUUGCACUUAUGCACACUUCAUUUGUCUUCCUCCUAUGAGGAGUUGGUGGCUUACUGUGGGAACAGCUGAAUCCUCUCUCGAGCCAUAGUCCUGAGGUUCCUUUGAGUUCCAUGAUCUUCUGUUGUUGCCUUUUCCCGAUGAAACCAUGAAACACUGGAGAGCUACUUAGAAGGAUUGUGGAAGUGCGUACCUUCUAAAGCUGCACCUCUCCUGCUUUGUGUCAUACAUCCUACAUAU